UACGUAGGGGGCAAGCGUUGUCCGGAUUUAUUGGGCGUAAAGAGCUCGUAGGUGGUUCGGUAAGUCGGAUGUGAAAUCUCCAGGCUCAACCUGGAGGGGUCAUUCGAUACUGCCGUGACUAGAGGUCGGUAGGGGAGUGUGGAAUUCCUGGUGGAGCGGUGAAAUGCGCAGAUAUCAGGAGGAACACCCGUAGCGAAGGCGGCACUCUGGGCCGAUACUGACACUGAGGAGCGAAAGCGUGGGGAGCGAUCCGG
rnacentral:rRNA from 1 species